CACCACACGCCCAAGUGUUCGCCCUCCAAUGAUAAUCCACACAGGGCUUUGAUCGAGACACCAACUCCUUAAGUGAUGUCUCCUUCAAAAUUCUCACUCUGAGAACUUCUUUAGGUAGCAAAACCUUAGGGUCUCUUUCUUCUCCUCCUAGCCUUCCUAUCUCUACCUUUCUUGUCUCCUUGUCUUCCUUAUAUUUCUUCCUAGGCCCUUGUCCUAAAAUUGAAUUUGUCUUCACUAUUUUAGAACUUAUUCUAACAAGGGAAGGAAGAAAAUAAUUGGACAAGAGGAAGAGAUGUGUAAGAAAGAAGAGAUAAGAAUAGAAAUCUGAAUGACUCAGAACCCCGGUGCGCAUCCCC
rnacentral:lncRNA from 1 species